UACAGAGGGGGCUAGCGUUAUUCGGAAUUAUUGGGCGUAAAGGGCGCGUAGGCGGCCAUGCGUGUCUUCCGUGAAAUCCCUCGGCUUAACUGAGGACGUGCGGAAGAAACUGCAAGGCUUGAGUCCGGGAGAGGGGGGUGGAAUUCCCAGUGUAGCGGUGAAAUGCGUAGAUAUUGGGAGGAACACCGGUGGCGAAGGCGGCCCCCUGGACCGGUACUGACGCUGAGGCGCGAAAGCGUGGGGAGUGAACAGG
rnacentral:rRNA from 1 species